CUCGCCGUUAAGGCGAUCUGCUAAACACUUCUGCGCGUAGGUCCGACGCUCAUGACUCGGGCCCGCUCUCUUGCAACAGAGAGUGUCCCUGCGCA
rfam:Synechococcus sp. MIT S9508 MITS9508_contig000007, whole genome shotgun sequence.